CAUCUCGUCUAGCCUCUAUUGCCGUUCAUCUGGCUUCUCACAUAUCCGUGGUUGUACUCUUGCUAGUUGUCGUCGUUGGCCUUCCUGGCGCUGCUUUUCUGCUCGCCACUGCUGUUUUUUCCGGAUUUGUCUGGCAGCGGCGACUUCAACUUCUCAAUUCUCACUCUUAGUCCGACGGUGAAGCUCCAGAUUUCAGGUGAGCAUCAGGAUGAUCAGCUAUAGUGUUUGCUUUGGAGUCCGCUGAUUUGUCAAGCCAACCGAAGAAGUGCCUCCGUGUUGAGGCUUUAGCUUUUGUUUUGAUCAAGUUUAAAGCUUUAUCAAGCCAUAUAUGUAUGAUCUUAGGAUGUAUGAGAUAAAUGUUUAUAUAUUUUUUAUAUGUAUGUGAUGAAAUGUUUUAUUUAUUUUUGUUCAUGUCAUUUAUGCACUG